UUGCUUUGGCAGCACAUAUACUAAAAUUGGAAUAAUACAGAGAAGAUUAGCAUGGCCCCUGUGCAAGGAUGACAUGCAAAUUCAUGAAGCAUUCCAUAUUUAA